CAGCCGCCGCGGUAAUACGAAGGGGGCUAGCGUUGCUCGGAAUGGCUGGGCGUAAAGGGCGCGUAGGCGGUUUUGACAGUCAGAUGUGAAAUUCCUGGGCUUAACCUGGGGGCUGCAUUUGAGACGUCAAGACUAGAGUGUGAGAGAGGGUUGUGGAAUUCCCAGUGUAGAGGUGAAAUUCGUAGAUAUUGGGAAGAACACCGGUGGCGAAGGCGGCAACCUGGCUCAUUACUGACGCUGAGGCGCGAAAGCGUGGGGAGCAAACAGGAUUAGAUACCCCCGUAGUCCCUGUCUCUUAUAC
rnacentral:rRNA from 1 species